rnacentral:rRNA from 1 species
GACGAACGCUGGCGGCGUGCUUAACACAUGCAAGUCGAACGGAAAGGCCCUGCUUUUGUGGGGUGCUCGAGUGGCGAACGGGUGAGUAACACGUGAGUAACCUGCCCUUGACUUUGGGAUAACUUCAGGAAACUGGGGCUAAUACCGGAUAGGAGCUCCUGCUGCAUGGUGGGGGUUGGAAAGUUUCGGCGGUUGGGGAUGGACGCGCGGCUUAUCAGCUUGUUGGUGGGGUAGUGGCUUACCAAGGCUUUGACGGGUAGCCGGCCUGAGAGGGUGACCGGCCACAUUGGGACUGAGAUACGGCCCAGACUCCUACGGGAGGCAGAAGUGGGGAAUAUUGCACAAUGGGCGGAAGCCUGAUGCAGCAACGCCGCGUGCGGGAUAACGGCCUUCGGGUUGUAAACCGCUUUCGCCUGUGACGAAGCGUGAGUGACGGUAAUGGGUAAAGAAGCACCGGCUAACUACGUG